UACGUAGGGUGCAAGCGUUUGUUCGGAUUUAUUGGGCGUAAAGAGCUCGUAGGCGGUUUGUCGCGUCGAAUGUGAAAACCCGGGGCUCAACCCCGGGCCUGCAUUCGAUACGGGCAGACUAGAGUUCGGUAGGGGAGUCUGGAAUUCCUGGUGUAGCGGUGAAAUGCGCAGAUAUCAGGAGGAACACCGGUGGCGAAGGCGGGACUCUGGGCCGAUACUGACGCUGAGGAGCGAAAGCGUGGGGAGCAAACAGG
rnacentral:rRNA from 1 species